UACCAGCACCCCGAGUGGUCAGGACGUUUAUUGGGCCUAAAGCAUCCGUAGCCGGUUCUACAAGUCUUCCGUUAAAUCCAACUGCUUAACAGGUGGGCUGCGGAAGAUACUAUAGAGCUAGGAGGCGGGAGAGGCAAGCGGUACUCGAUGGGUAGGGGUAAAAUCCGUUGAUCCAUUGAAGACCACCAGUGGCGAAGGCGGCUUGCCAGAACGCGCUCGACGGUGAGGGAUGAAAGCUGGGGAGCAACCGG
rnacentral:rRNA from 1 species